rnacentral:rRNA from 1 species
UACAGAGGUCUCAAGCGUUGUUCGGAUUCAUUGGGCGUAAAGGGUGCGUAGGCGGCGCGGUAAGUCGGGUGUGAAAUCUUGGAGCUUAACUCCGAAACUGCAUUCGAUACUGCCAUGCUUGAGGACUGGAGAGGAGACUGGAAUUUACGGUGUAGCGGUGAAAUGCGUAGAUAUCGUAAGGAAGACCAGUGGCGAAGGCGGGUCUCUGGACAGUUCCUGACGCUGAGGCACGAAGGCCAGGGGGAGCAAACGGG